UAUGCUUAAUUCAGGGGGUUGUCACACAUCACUUGAGGCCCUACUGAUAAAGCGUUGGGAGUGCAGGACACAGAACCGGGCACGUUGAACGCAUAUGGGGCAUGGGACGAUUCAACCCGACCGGGGUACACAUUCUUGAGUGCCUACCAAAUGCGUGUUACACAAUAAACCUAACUACAGGGCGCGCGUGCAGGCAAGCAACACACCGGGACGAGCAGCCCGUCCCAACGCCUUGGCGUGGUGGGUGGUUUGCAGCACUGCACGUGGGCGCACUGUGCAUCUUGGCGUGCUCGAGUCCCGCAAGGGGGCUCUUGGGCGCUGAAAAGGUUUGGCGAAACGGGUGCGCGCGUCAAGUCGGCACGGGUCGAACUUCGGCUUUGGAUGACCUGAGAACCCCGGCAGCCUACUAACACCAGGCUUGCCGAUACGGGUCCAGGGGAAGUCCGGCCAGUUCGUGUAACGCGUGACCGACCCAUUGUAACACAGGACGCCGCAACAACUCCAGU
rnacentral:rRNA from 1 species